rnacentral:tRNA from 1 species
GCCUCUAUGGCGUAGUGGUAGCGCGUGUCACUUGUAUCUUAAUAACAAGAUCAUGACAAGGUCUCUCGUUCGAUCCGGGAUGGAGGCA